rnacentral:rRNA from 1 species
AGCGAACGCUGGCGGCAGGUUUAACACAUGCAAGUCGAGCGGGCAUCCUUGUGGUGUCAGCGGCAGACGGGUGAGUAACGCGUGGGAACGUGCCCUUCGGUUCGGAAUAACUCAGGGAAACUUGAGCUAAUACCGGAUACGUGCGAGAGCAGAAAGGUUUAUCUGCCGAAGGAUCGGCCCGCGUCUGAUUAGCUAGUUGGUGAGGUUACGGCUCACCAAGGCGACGAUCAGUAGCUGGUCUGAGAGGAUGAUCAGCCACACUGGGACUGAGACACGGCCCAGACUCCUACGGGAGGCAGCAGUGGGGAAUAUUGGACAAUGGGGGCAACCCUGAUCCAGCCAUGCCGCGUGAGUGAUGACGGCCUUAGGGUUGUAAAGCUCUUUUCUCCGGGACGAUAAUGACGGUACCGGAGGAAUAAGCCCCGGCUAACUUCGUG